rnacentral:rRNA from 1 species
AGGAUUAACGCUGGCGGCGUGCCUAACACAUGCAAGUCGAACGAGGUAGCAAUACCUAGUGGCAGACGGGUGAGUAGCGCGUGGUCAACCUACCGUUGAGUGGGGGAUAACUAGCCGAAAGGUUAGCUAAUACCGCAUACGUCUCCGAGGGGCAUCCCUUGGUGAUAAAAGGAGCAAUCCGCUCGAUGACGGGACCGCGUCCCAUUAGCUAGUUGGUGGGGUAACGGCCUACCAAGGCAUCGAUGGGUAGCUGGUUUGAGAGAGCGACCAGCCGCACUGGGACUGAGAUACGGCCCAGACUCCUACGGGAGGCAGCAGUGAGGAAUUUUCCGCAAUGGGCGAAAGCCUGACGGAGCGACGCCGCGUGUGGGAAGAAGGCCUUCGGGUCGUAAACCACUGUCGAAGGGGAAGAUAAUGACGGUACCCUUGGAGGAAGCCCCGGCUAACUACGUGCCAGCAGCCGC